AGAUCAUUCUCAUGAAGGAAUCAGCUUUCCACGGAAGGAAAAGGAGAACUUCAAAAAGUCAGUGCCUUUGUUGAACGGGCAAAAGUAUUUGUAAUCCUGGAGAAAGGCCAUGGAGAAACAGAUCAGUGGACAGGUGACAUCAGUCACAGGCGGUGACACGGAGCAGUGGGGGUUACAUGAGUUGGAUGGCUCAUGGAGGGUAGCGCUACACACUUCAUCCUUUGUCCUCUCCAAGAUGGAAUUGAACGCCCUUCCUUAAAAUGGAGAAUUAAUGCAUCGUUUAUAUGGCCAACACUAGGAAUUUUCUUAACUCCAAAGGAUGAAAAUAAUCAGUCAUGCAGACAAGGAAGGAAAACUAUAUGAAUUAAAGAUGGAGCUUACAGGAUUGCUGCAAAAUUUCAGAUACUGUGAUGCUUCUUAAUGAUCUGAUUCCUGAGGACAUAUUUACUGGAGUCCAGUACUCAAUUUACCUGCCAAAAUCUCUGCAGAUAGCAGAGGAAUUUUGCAGAAUUUCAUUGCCCUCUCACAUGUGGCAACACCCAUUCCUGACAAAAAGACAAGCCCUGAAAAUUCCACUUUUGGUAUGUCUUCUCAGUGGACACUACCUUGGACAGUUGGGACUGUGUGAAGUGAAUGUGCUUUCUAAAUGGAGGAGAAGAUGGGGAUGUCAGGCGGCAUGUUUCUUCUGUCUUCUGAAACUACAGCCUGAUUGGAGAAUGAGCAAAUACAUCACAGAAAAUUACUUUUGUGAGUAUUGUGUGCUCUGA
rnacentral:lncRNA from 1 species